GUAGAUCGGAACAGUGUUAGUCACUCAGGAUACUUGUAACGUCUUAUUAUUCCACUAAGCGCACAGCUUGGGCCAAGCAAGGCCUUCGUAACACUCUAUCUUCUUCAUUUUACAGCGUUUCUUGAACCAUUCAGAUUUCAAAUGUAUCCUCGAUAACGACUUUUGGUCAAACACAGACACACUCAUAUCAUCACACAAAUGCAAUGCACAACCUUAACUUCUUUGUUGGCUUCCCCAACCAACACUUUCCCCUUGCUCUAUUAUGGCGCACCUGCAAAAUGGGAUGUGGUGGCACCCUGUUGGCCGCAAAGCCUUGUGUUGAUAAAGUUUUCAUACACUUUUUUGGCAAAACUCUCACAAUGUAGUGCUGACAAGAGAGAAAUUGGAAGCUAAUGUCGAUUCUGUACAUUACUCAUAUCUCUCAGUUUUGUAAUGCACAUGUCCAGCUAUUCAAUGUUCUCCAAUUAGGAGCUGAACGGCAAAAUUGACAGCAUCCAGAAAAUGUCACCUAAAAACACCAGACCCUGAACUUUUUGUUCGACUGUAGGUCAUUGAAAGCUCCUUAAUGCCUCUCCAGCAACUUUUAGCAUCUUGCCAUUGGCCAUGUGUACCAGCAGAGGACAGCAGGACUUCAGCUGAGCCGUUGUCUCAACAAUGUCGUUCACUAGAAUGAGCCAGCACCCCCCCUGACAGAAGCUGGACUCUUGAGAAAAAGUCCAUCUUGUCACAGAGCAGGGUGUCCACAGCCCCCCAAAAAAACAACGCCGUGACCAAAAGCAAGGGCUCUAUUUCAGGACUUGGAAGUGCCAUGUUUCAUGCUCGGUGGCUGCCAUGGCAACGUCCCUGUGAAUGGGCGUGGGAGUAUGAGUCACAUGGUCAGCGAGCGGGUAAACAAGGCUCAUUCAUAACCGCAGCAGCCGAGCUCACACAGCCUACAAACAAGUUUUUUUUUCUCUCCCCCCCCCCGCCAACAAGGUGGUGAGGAGGGGGUCCCUCCGUAACACCCACCGCCACAUGACAGGGCGUAAAUUACUGUCACGUCAGCAUUACAUUUACAGUACAGUCAUGCUGACCUUUAGCGGAGCGGCUUGUGGAAAAUUCCCCGUGUCACGGUGGAAUAGUUUCCCUCAUAGUCACGGGUGUAUUUUUACAGGCAGACAAUGUCGUCUAUCAGCAUCCCGCUGCUCAGAUCCUCUUUCGCCGGGCUUCCCUGAGCCUCUGCAUGCCCUUAUUUAUCUCUGCGGGGGUAAAUUUAGACGCCGCGCUUGAACCGAUUUCUGCCAAGUCGACAGUUUCACUUGAAGUGAUAUCCUGGGAAGGCUGUUCUCGAAAUAUUCCCUUGGGUGGGGCGGCAGUGGUCCUCAGGCUUUUUACACCAAGUACCACCUCAAUAAUUACUUAGCUCUCAUCGUCGCACCAUCAUGAACCAACAUUAAAAUACAGUUGCCAAGAAGGCCCAAGUGUGACUCAAAAGGCAGAAGUAAAUUUAAUAUUUUUAAGAAACCAUUAAAACAUGACCGUAUGUACAAUUUGAACACUCACAGCUUAAGUUGACUGUCAAAUUAAACUGCGUAUUUAAAACAACCACACAACUUUGCUAGCUUCAUGCUAACACAAUGGAAAAUGCCAUUGAUGGGCUAAGGAAUAGCAUCGAUAGUCGUGCUGUUCUAACAGUGCAUCAACACAUGUAGACAGAUGAUCCAACAAUACUCAUGGGCAUAUAUUCUUUAUCCUCUGUGAAAAACUAAUGGUACAGCAGUUUCCCGAGUCCCUCACAGUAGCUGCAAAAGUCUUGCGCCUUUGUGUCUUUGUAACUAUAUUAUAUUGGCCCCAUUGGCCAAACCGCACCUACCACAUUAAGUCGCAAUUGAAAAACUGUUUAUGUCUUUACGUUCUCUUUAAUUAUUUUAUUAAAGUAUGAUGUUUCCGUAUUAAAAACACAUUGCACACAUUUUAGUUGUGUUUUUUUGUGGGAUGACGACAUCCUAUUGUUUUGAUUCAUCUCAACGGGGAAAGACGAUUUAUACUCAUACAAAUGUUUUCAGUUACAAGUGUGGUCACGUAACUAAUUAAACUUGCAUCUCAAGGCACCGUUUUAUUUAAACAAAGAAGUUGAUGCCACUCCAGCUUUAUGUACAGCAGGGGUCACUGACCCGGCGCCCGCGAGCCUGAGUCACCCAACCAAACCAAAAAUAGCUUACCACUGAGGGGACAUUGUGAAUUUCUGGGACAGUUUUACAUGUGAUCAUUUAAAAAUGUAGUAUAUAAAUACAGUCUUGCUUAUUGAUGUUUCCUAAUGAUUGUGACGUGAUCAAUCUUCACAUUCAUGAAUUCAGAUGUGGGCAUCAACGUGGUAGCCCUUUGCAUUAAUUCGCACUCAAGACAUGUAUCUCAGUUUCAAAAAGGUCAGUGAGCGAUGAUAUAUAGUUUGAACAUGUAAUUGAUUCAGGUAUUCUUUGGCAUACUACAUUUUAGGAAUCAGUGCUUGAAGCGAAUGUUUUUUUUUUUUAAAAGCAAUUUUGAAGAUGCUGUCCGAAGCCGAAUCAUGACAUCCCAGUUGACAGGAUAGAGACCAACAUCAAAGCGUUCCAGUGUGCUGAAACGCAUGACUAAAGCCAACCACUAAGUCCUGUUUCGGGAUUCUAGCAACAUCUACCCAGCUGCAUCGCCAAAGUAAAUAUAUUUAUACAGUAUAUGGUAUUCCUCAUAUGCAAGUCGUUGGAAAAUGUCUUGUUGCGUCAGCACGGGGGUCCCUGGGAAUAUUCCUUGUGAAGAUUAUGGAAAAGUGUUGCAUGUUAGCAGUAUGGGAGGCCCCUUUCCUUCAUACAAGGGGGCCUCUGGCGAGAACCAAGACCUUGUUUUCCUGAAAUUCUUCAGGCAUGUACUUGUGUUUUUCUAAGGUUCUCCUCAUCAAGAUGCCAAAAUUUCUUCCACAAGAGCUCGCAUGAUAGAACCCAGGCGCUCGUGUACAAACGGGACAGAUCCCCCCCCCCCCCCUUUCCAACAGACGCAAUCAAGAAAACAACUCGUGCGAGGCCAUUCUGCAAAGGCAGUCUGGGAAAAUACCUCCAAAGGGAAAAAAAAGGGCACAGAUGGCUCGCUUUGAGAACAAAAACCACAUUCCUGAGUAAACACACAUGUGCCGGAGCCUCUCAUGCAAAUGUUCACCGGAGCAAACCCAAGAUGUCCCGCCAUGCACUCCACUACAAGGGAACGGGGAAGGGGAUGCGGGCGGAGCUGAGACUCUUCCUCACUUGUUAAACAACAGUUGCAGUGUACAAAAUGUCUGGAAUUCCGAUGUGUCUGCUGUAGUUCACGUGCCCAAACAAAUCAAACGUAGCCUGUGCGCACAUGCCGGGAGGUCGGUUAUAAAAACAUUUCAAUAUACAGUAGAACUGUGGAUUCACAUAUCUUUUCAAUAUUUUAAUUACAGUAUAAAUUGUUGUUGUUUUAUGGAAAACACUCGAUAAACUAUUCUAUUUUCCGAGGUUGCCAGAGGAGAGAGAAGUCGACAGCAGCUUUCCAAAGACGUUAUAAAGAGCAUGUGGCUAUCGGCGAUUGUGUUCACGAUUUCAACGUUGAUCAAUGAGGCUCGUUUACGAAGAGCGCAGUUUGUGAAGCAUUGAACCAUCUGCACGUGAUUUGUGAAUUGGAUGCCGAUGAUGAUUCCGACGGUUAGCGGCUCCACAAAAGCUGGGCAAACUGAUAGUGAAUUUGUCCCUCGAUUGGUUUUGAGUCCAGUUAUUAUCAGGGGUUUUCUUUUAAUUUUUGUC